rnacentral:lncRNA from 1 species
ACUCAGUUCAAUGUGAUAUGUCUUUGUAUGAGCCGGGCAGCUAACCCUACAUGCCUUACCUUUCACACUACUUUGCCCACCCAAAAAUGGUCUUAAAUGGAGGCUGUGGGAUUCAGUGGCCAGACUGGGACAAAGCCUUUGCUUUGGGUCUCCAGAAAGAUUUUCUUCACUGUAGUAAUAUGCGAACUGUUCCAAAGAGGGAAGUCUUUGGACACUGGAGGGGACUGAAUUGGAGAAGGAAAGGAAGGAUGAAAUGAAUCUCAGGUACACAGAUGCCUGCAGGAAGUUGUUCAGCACAAUGAAUCACCAAAUAUUUUAGAGAUAAAAUUUCAACAAAAAUUUGAGAAAUAUAUUUUGUGCUUAGUACUGUGCCAAUGGUUGUGAAACAUAUAAAAGAAAUAUAAGAGCCUGGAGGCAGUGGCUCACGCCUGUAAUCCCAACACUUUGGGAGGCUGAGGUGGGCAGAUCACUUGAGGUCGGGAGUUGGAGACCAGCCUGGCUAACAUGAUGAAACCCUGUCUUUACUAAAAAUACAAAAUUAUCUGGGCAUGGUGGUGCAUGCCUGUAAUCCCAGCUACUCAGGAAGCUGAGGCAAGAGAAUCGCUUGAACCCAGGAGGCGGAGGUUGCAGUGAGCUGGGAUCACACCAUUGCACUCCAGCCUGGGUGACCAAGUGAGACUCUGUCUCCAAAAAAAAAAAAAAAAAAAAUGAAAAAAGAAAUAUAAGAGAAGGUCCUUAUGCAGGCCUUUUGCAGAGGAACUUUUGCUGCAUACAAGGGUUACUGGACUUAGAGGUGUGAGACAGCAUUGUAGCCCCAGCUAGUAAGGUAGGUUGCCUUGAGUAGGUGGAACUGACCUUGAUCAGAGAAGAGAGUGGAGGUGUAUUCUGGAGGAAAACUACAUGAACAAAGGGAUGGAAGUGAGGAGAGGGAUCUGCAGCAGGUGUGUUGAUUGCAUUACAGUGGGAAAUAAAUGCUUAGCCAUCAUGAGCUCCUUUACCAGGGAGCUUGGUCAGCUGUGAGGUGUUUUGGCCUCCAUCCUUGCAUCUGGAACAUGAAGAAAUGAAAGUUGUGUUUAAUGAGCAUUAGUUGGAAAGGCAAAAAAAAAAAGCAGAAGGAUUAGAGUAACAGGAUGAUCUGGGAUUCCAGGGCCUUGGCAUAAUACAUUCACAUGGUUCAAAAUGCAAAAAGUACAGAACGAUAUAUGUAUUGUGAAGAAACCACCUUCCACCCUUGUCCCCCCAGCCACUCAGUUUUUCUGCUGGAGACAAAGCUACUGCUUCCUUGGGUAUAACUGUGAAAAUGGUCUCUGCAGAGACAAGCAAAUGUGCUUAUGUACUUUUAAAAAAUAAAAUGGUAAAAUAGUG